rnacentral:rRNA from 1 species
UACGUAGGGGGCUAGCGUUGUCCGGAUUUAUUGGGCGUAAAGAGCGUGUAGGCGGCCAGGUAGGUCUGGUGUGAAAACUCGAGGCUUAACCUCGAGAUGUCAUCGGAAACCAUCUGGCUAGAGUCCGGAAGAGGAGACUGGAAUUUACGGUGUAGCGGUGAAAUGCGCAGAUAUCAGGAGGAACACCGGUGGCGAAGGCGGAUCUCUGGGCCUUACCUGACGCUCAGGUGCGAAAGCUAGGGGAGCGAACAGG